CAAGAAUGAUAGAAAUAAGAUUGCGCAAUGCGCAUGUUUGCUUUCAGUCAGCUGUUCUUGGUGACGUCACGGUUGACUUAUUAUUCGCGGGCGCCUUUGAAUGUGAAAGAAAUUUGCAGUUUGAAAUGGGUUUAAGUUCGCGGAGUCUAACAAAGUUGCUACCUAGCGCUUUUCUCACGUUAACCAGAUUAACUCCUGCAGAGGCUAAUGAACGGCAGAAAAGGAUGGAGUCUCGUUUAAACCACUGUUUCUUAUCCUAAUUGCAAUAUUUUUCAACGUGUGUCAGUUGAUCUAAAUUCCACUGACCCAAUUGUAAAAAAUGAUGACUUGAAGAUUCUCAACAACGACGGGCUUGAAAAUUUGGCAGGGUACAUCUGCCACAAACUUAGUAAAGACAACCCCGAAAUUUGUGCCAAUUCAGAAAAUUGUUCGUCUUAUACCUGGGUGGAUCACCUUUCUGAAGGAGGACUCUCAAAACCAACAGAUAUGUUGAUGGAGCAUAUGAGAGCCUUGCAAGCAGUAUUUGACGAUGUAAAUGGUACUGAUUUGCAUAUAUGUACAAAUUACCACCAGAAACACUUAGAUUUAAGUAAUUUUGUAAAUUGUAGCUUGAAAGUAAAAAAAUAAUUGUUUUUCAGAGCAAGAAUGUAUUUUAGGAUUCGUUCCUUAAAUAAAAACUUUAUCGAACACAUGUAUAGCAAAAAAAGAAAAUUAAAUAAGACAAUAAAUUGAUACUCGGUCACAAAAUA